CCCUUAGAUGUCCUGGGCCGCACGCGCGCUACACUGAACGGAUCAGCGCGUUUUCCCUUCCCGAGAGGGACGGGUAACCUGCUGAACCCCGUUCGUGGUAGGGAUCGGGGCUUGCAAUUAUUCCCCGUGAACCAGGAAUGCCCAGUAAGUGCAAGUCAUAAGCUUGCGUUGAUUACGUCCCUGCCCUUUGUACACACCGCCCGUCGCUACUACCGAUUGGACGUUUUAGUGAGGAUUUUGGACUGAGCCAAUGGUGGUUCACACCACUGUUGUGCAUGGAAAGAUCUCCAAACUUGAGCGUUUAGAGGAAGUAAAAGUCGUAACA
rnacentral:rRNA from 1 species